GCGGAAGUAGUUCAGUGGUAGAACAUCACCUUGCCAAGGGGGGGGUCGCGGGUUCGAAUCCCGUCUUCCGCUCCA
rnacentral:tRNA from 1 species